UUUUAUGAGAGUUUGAUCCUGGCUCAGGACGAACGCUGGCGGCGUGCCUAAUACAUGCAAGUCGAACGCUUCUUUUUCCACUGGAGCUUGCUCCACCGGAAAAAGAGGAGUGGCGAACGGGUGAGUAACACGUGGGUAACCUGCCCAUCAGAAGGGGAUAACACUUGGAAACAGGUGCUAAUACCGUAUAACAAUCAAAACCGCAUGGUUUUGAUUUGAAAGGCGCUUUCGGGU
rnacentral:rRNA from 1 species